GGGCUUGGAGUAGUAUUUGUUCACAAGCCUCUUUGACAUCUCUUGAUUUUUUGGGUUCAACGAGGGUUCGAACCAAUUAACCGACUAAAAUUCAAUUAGCUCAAAGUGAAAUUAAACGACAUUUUGGUCCCAGUUAUUUAGGUUUGGUUCUCGGUCUCUAAAUUAUACCCACCCCUAGUUAUUGGCAGCUCAUAAUUCACCUCCUGGCC
rnacentral:lncRNA from 1 species